rnacentral:rRNA from 1 species
GACGAACGCUGGCGGCGUGCCUAAUACAUGCAAGUCGAACGCUUCUUUCCUCCCGAGUGCUUGCACUCAAUUGGAAAGAGGAGUGGCGGACGGGUGAGUAACACGUGGGUAACCUACCCAUCAGAGGGGGAUAACACUUGGAAACAGGUGCUAAUACCGCAUAACAGUUUAUGCCGCAUGGCAUAAGAGUGAAAGGCGCUUUCGGGUGUCGCUGAUGGAUGGACCCGCGGUGCAUUAGCUAGUUGGUGAGGUAACGGCUCACCAAGGCCACGAUGCAUAGCCGACCUGAGAGGGUGAUCGGCCACACUGGGACUGAGACACGGCCCAGACUCCUACGGGAGGCACCAGUAGGGAAUCUUCGGCAAUGGACGAAAGUCUGACCGAGCAACGCCGCGUGAGUGAAGAAGGUUUUCGGAUCGUAAAACUCUGUUGUUAGAGAAGAACAAGGACGUUAGUAACUGAACGUCCCCUGACGGUAUCUAACCAGAAAGCCACGGCUAACUACGUG